AGUGAACGCUGGCGGUAGGCCUAACACAUGCGAGUCGAACGGCAGCACAGUAAGAGCUUGCUCUUACGGGUGGCGAGUGGCGGACGGGUGAGGAAUACAUCGGAAUCUACUUUUUCGUGGGGGAUAACGUAGGGAAACUUACGCUAAUACCGCAUACGACCUACGGGUGAAAGCAGGGGAUCUUCGGACCUUGCGCGAUUGAAUGAGCCGAUGUCGGAUUAGCUAGUUGGCGGGGUAAAGGCCCACCAAGGCGACGAUCCGUAGCUGGUCUGAGAGGAUGAUCAGUCACACUGGAACUGAGACACGGUCCAGACUCCUACGGGAGGCAGCAGUGGGGAAUAUUGGACAAUGGGCGCAAGCCUGAUCCAGCCAUACCGCGUGGGUGAAGAAGGCCUUCGGGUUGUAAAGCCCUUUUGUUGGGAAAGAAAAGCAGCAGGUUAAUACCCCGCUGUUCUGACGGUACCCAAAGAAUAAGCACCGGCUAACUUCGUG
rnacentral:rRNA from 1 species